rnacentral:piRNA from 1 species
UCCCUUCAAAUGUCUGGAGUUGAUACCUGC